rnacentral:lncRNA from 1 species
AGAAGCAGAAUUGAUUUGGUUAUUUCCUAAGAAAAACAAGAAUUUCCUAAUAGCGUCUCAUUUGAUGGAAGUGUCGAUUCAGAAUUAAAUAUGCUCGAAUGUAGUAGGUGCGAUUGUGAGAGAGAGAGUGGCCCAAGGGUGGGGAUAGAUAGAAGCGACGAUGUCUUCACAAAAUCCACCAUUGAGACCACCAAUUUCCUACUUCAGAACAAUCUCCAAGCAAAAACAAGCUAAGGAUAGCAUAGGCAUUGUGCCAACAGGUUUUUUCCCGCUAAGAAUUUUGUUUUGUCUUCGGGUGUUGCUUUUCCAGGCUGUAUCUGACGUUAAAGUUAUAUUUAAAGAUAAUCUAUAAUUUCUGAAUUGCUGAAAAUUAGCAUAUUAACGAUGUCAGUAGCUCUGGAAAGUGGAGAGAGAGGGCUGUUGCCUGCCAUUUGGUAAUUGAAAUUUGAUGGGUAAACUAAUUACGCCAUUAUUAACAAAUAAAUUACUUAUUAAUUCCACCUAAUGUUGAUCUUUGAAGUAAAUACUGAUGCCUUACUCGCAGUAUAUACUUUCCCUUUCCUUUUCUGAGUAAUAGUUCUGAGUAAUAGACACACCUAGAUCCUCUUUUCAACCUAGAUUAAAGCAGUGCAAAGUACCAUAGUCACCAUUCUAAAAAUACUUUCAUACUGGCAUGCAAAGCAAGUAUUUUUCAGCUGGUGCACCUUAGUUGAUUUUUCAAAGAGCAAUAUAAACAGCCUUCUCACAACAGUCUGGAACG